rnacentral:rRNA from 1 species
AAGAUUAAGCCAUGCAUGUCUAAGUAUAAACAAUUCUAUACUGUGAAACUGCGAAUGGCUCAUUAAAUCAGUUAUAGUUUAUUUGAUAAUACCUACUACUUGGAUAACCGUGGUAAUUCUAGAGCUAAUACAUGCACAAAAACCCGACUUCUGGAAGGGUUGUAUUUAUUAGAUAAAAAACCAAUGCGGUCUCGGCCGGUUAUUUGGUGAUUCAUAAUAACUUUGCGAAUCGUAU